UACAUGAUCAUUCAAAAAUUUUAUCUAUUUGAAUUCGUUUGCUAAAAAUUCACCUAUUGGUUUAUUUUUAACGAAAACGAUAAACGUUCGUGAACGUUCAACGCUCGUUUCUUCGUUCUAAGUUGGAAUGCGGUCAUUUUUGAGUCAACAACUCUUAAAUGCCAAAUAUGACUUGUCUCCAUUGGAAAACAAUGGUUCCGAGUUCAAACACAAAAUUUGACUUCCAUUCCGAGAAUUUUACGAAUUCGACGAUUAUCGUCCAAUCGUACAAAUUCCGGCAAUUCUUCCUUCUUAUGAUUUGUUCAACAUUACAAAUGAACUUCAUUCAUCAUGUGAACAUACUAACAUACUUAAUACAACAACUUAGAUUCAUUGUUGGAUUUUGACUUAUUCUUCAUGAGCUUAUAACUUGUCAAAUUAUAAACUACUUAAGAUUUCAUUGUUAAUGACUUAUGACAAUUAAAGUUUCUUAAACAUCAUUUCUUAUAUGUUCUUAACAUAUCACUUAAUUUCGGUAUACAUGAUACAUAUGAUCAUAUAAAUUCUUUUACAUUCAUAUCAUUUCUCUUAAUAAACUCCUUACAAGUUCAUAUUAUUUUCACAUAAGUUUAUAACUUAUGCUUGCUUAAAUGACUUAUUACCAACUUAAUUGGCUUAAGUUCACUACUUACUCAUUCAUGUUUCUUAAUCCAACUUUUCUUAUCAUCCUAUCAUGGUAGAGAUAGAAGAUAAUUGAGAAGAAGUCUUACUCUUCAAGUCUUUGAUAAAUAGCUUCUUCUUCUUCUUGGCUUAUGGAAGUGACUUAUUGCUAGCUUAUCCUCUCUAACACUUAAGUACUUUAGAAGUGUUGGAUUAAUUGAUCAACCAACAAAUGGCUUGUAAGCCUUCUAUAUUUAUAGAACUUGCAAGGUUAGGGUAGAUUGGUCAUUAAAACAAUCCCACCUCCUUAAGCCACCUCCUUACUAUUCAUUACUUGCUAACCACUCUCUUAUCUCAUACUUGGCCAUUACUUCAAAGUCUUGGUCAUUACUCCUAAAUCUUGGUCAUCACACUUACUUGAUCACCACAUUACUUGGUCACCACAAUAACCAUAUCAAUAUGGUUUGCCCCAUGGGUCAUACCACCCAUGGAUUCUAGCUUGGGCUUGCAUUAAUUUAUUCUUUGGGCUUUGCAUUAAUAACCACUAGUUGGUACAUUAGUUAAUAGUUGGCUUCUCUCUUUAAUUCACUUGGACUUAUAUUAAUUCUUAUAAAUCUUUCCAAGUCCAUUAACAUUCCAUAAUACAUACACAUAUAGUUGAUGCAUUAUUCUUGUAUUCUAAUUCAUAUAGAAUUUAUAUACGGUAUUUCAUCCUUCAUACAAACUUGUAUAAUACUUCGUAUUAUACUCGCUUUCAUUUCUUCGUACAAUACCAAGUAUCAUACAAUUAUUACUUAUUCCUUACCACUUCGCUUUACUUAAAGUUUACAAAAGUAAGUCCACAAGCGAAUUAUUACUUUUUCCAUAACUAGAUUUUUAUUACAUAAUCCAUCUUACCUUGUUAUUCCAUCAUUACGUAUUUCUCGGAAACUCAAAAUUAUAUCCCGAGCAAAUACCGAUGAAUAGUGUUUUUCAAAAAAAUUCUUGGAAAACUUUUAUUUUCAUCUUGGAAAUUCAAACACUUUAAUUCAUCCACGUAGCUCAAAUACUACGACAUUCUAACAUCAAUAGGUUAUACAAUGACAACCAUUUUG
rnacentral:lncRNA from 1 species